AUUUGUCCCAUGUUUGUAAAGCAAUGUCUUAGACAGCUGAUGUUGUGGUAAAAUUCAUUGUAUUAACUGGAUUGGUCCUUGUAGUAUCUGAGCAUUAAGCCCAAUAUUAAUCAGGGUAUUUUUAUGAGUACUCACUGAAUAAAAUUCAAAAUUAAGUCAGUAGACUGAGUAGAUACCUCUCCAUAAUGCAUGCGGGAAGUCCCCUCCUAUCAGCUGAAGGCUUCUCCUAAGCAAGAGAGGUCCUCUUGUCUAACUGAAUUUGAAUUGGGGCAUCAGCUUUGUCCUGCCUUCACACUUGAAUUCAAACAUUAAUUCUUCAGCUUACACGUCACACUAGAAUAAAAUCAGCUCUCUUGGGUCUCACGCUUCUGAUCUACUCUAAGUCUUGGGACUUGUCAGACUUCAUAACAGCAUGAGCAGUUUCACUUCCGGUAGCUAGGUGGAUAGAUGGAUGGAUGGACACACAGAUAGAAAGACAGAUGAAGAAGUGAAAGGUUAACCAGCUGUUUUGUGGAGAAGGGGCCAAACAUAUGGGAUAGUUUCACUUUAUAACAAGCAGCUCUUGGAAAAACAAUCUCACUUAUCUCUUUGGAGAUACGCCAAGUGCAAUCCCCCUGAUGACCUAACCAACAUUCACCUCUCUAUGAUUCCACCACCUGUCACACUGCCAUCUUGGGGACCAAACUUCAUUCGCAUGACCAUCCCCUUGGAGGGCACUUUUGAACCAUAUGUAAACAAUAUCACCAAAUGCCUAGUUGAAACUUGAAACCUUUCCAUCCCACAGAGUAGGAAGGUCUGAAUACUCAUAAACCAGGAUUAAGUACAAGCCACUCAGAUAUUUUUGAAAAAGUGAAACUUUACAAAACUUACCAACAAGUAACAGUAUCAUAUUAUUGAUGGCACUUCAUAAUUGCUCUCAGCACAUACCUUCUAGAACAACCCAGUAGAGGAAUUGGCAAUGUAAGAAACCAUUUAUCCUCUAGUACAGCUACUGUGAAUGACCAAAAACAAUGGUUUAAGUAAUUUUUAGUUACAUUGAACUCAGAAUACCUUUAGCAGUUUGCUUCCCAAUUUCUAUCUUAAGUGUCCAUUCUAUUGUUUGAGUGCAAUCACUUUCCCAUUUAACCUCUACAGACUAAGCAGUGUCAUAUGACCCAUGUAGCUAUUUUUAAUACAUAAGUUAAUUUUCAUGUAACAUAAUAAAGUUCGUGACUAUGCCUUUCAAAGUCAUCUGCACCUGUAUGCAUUUUAAACAGGACCCUAAGACCUGAUAUUUCUCUAAAAGCCAUCUGGAGACUUGACUGUAAAUGCACCUGUGAUUUGCAAAAAAAGGCACCCUAACACAUUUGGGAAUUUAUUCUCACCAAGCUUAUUGAAUACUUGUAUGCAAUUACCCUGAGUAAUACUCUAUAUUUGCUUGUAAUAAGAUUUAUUGGGGAUCUUAUAAAAGAGGAAAAUUUGAUUGAAACACACAAACUUUCCCACAGUCCAGAAGAAUUAAUUGCAUAGUACCAGGCACAUGCUAGAUCACAAAAGUUUGUCCUAGGCAAUGAAAGGUUUUCUAAUUUCCUUCAUUAUUUAAGGAUUUAACACAUCAAAAAGAAAAAUGCUCACUCCAAAAGAUGCCCUGCUUUGUGCAUAAUUUAAAAAAUUGUAUCAAAUCCAAAAUUAGACAUUUGCCCACCUGUUUCAUUCUUCCUCUGCCUGUUUCCAGCUUCCUGUUUCUCAAAUUGCUUAAGAGAAUGAGGCAUGGUCCUAUUUUCCCACAGUCAUAUAAAAAGAAAUGUCCAUGUUUUGCACCCACUUGCCCUGACCAUGGAGUGGGAAACAUAUCUAGUAUGAAAUUUUACCAUGUACCUGCUGUCCAGUUAGAAGAAAGGAAAAAAAAGAGAAAGGCACCAGUAGUUCUCACCUAGAAUCCUAGCAACUCAGAAAGCUCAAAUCAGAGCACUGUGUUUGAA